UAAAAGGGAAAAAAUAUGACAUCAGAUUUGACCUAAUUUUUUGGGUACACCUCUGUUAUCCAUUGCUGGAAACAGAUAGCGGCUAGGGUUUGUCUCUGUUGUUGCAUUCUAUUUUCUUCUUCUGUGGAAAAUCCUUUCAAACUGAGUCCCCUUUCCAUUAUGCUCACAAUCUUCUCCACGCUACUUCUAUGUUCCUGGAGAUGAAGGGAAUUAGCCCUGCAUUUGUCAUUCUUAAAGCAUCACUUUGUCAUGAAGGUUGAGUGCUUUCUUGACCUAAUUCAGAUAAAUCACGUUAGGAUUUUUGUAUUACUUCAAGAAAGCAUUCAACAUUCAUGAGAAGUGAUUCCAGAAGGAUAUAUAUAUCAACCGAAUUGCUUACGCUACUUUCAUAAAGGGUUGUCAACAAAGCCUGAUCACACUCUAGUCAAAGGAAAUGCAGAGGAGUAUGGUUUCAGAGAUAGUGAUGCAUAAUUGAAAUCAACAACCAGAUAGCUGAUCUGUAUGGUAGUAAUGUUUUUAAUGUAUUGCUGUGUUUUACAUCUAUUACCAUAGAACUUGUUGUAGGUUAAAUGACAAGAUCUAUGUUAUUUUUC